AUAGGAAUAAAUCUAGUAAUGUUUCGCAACUCUACUAUAACGAAUUUAUUCCUUUUU
rnacentral:antisense_RNA from 1 species